ACGCNUGGGUAACCUGCCCCUGUACACACGGAUAACAUACCGAAAGGUAUGCUAAUACGAGAUAAAGUACUUUUAUCGCAUGGUAGAAGUAUCAAAGCUUUUGCGGUACAGGAUGGACCCGCGUCUGAUUAGCUAGUUGGUAAGGUAACGGCUUACCAAGGCGACGAUCAGUAGCCGACCUGAGAGGGUGAUCGGCCACAUUGGAACUGAGACACGGUCCAAACUCCUACGGGAGGCAGCAGUGGGGAAUAUUGCACAGUGGGCGAAAGCCUGAUGCAGCAACGCCGCGUGAGCGAUGAAGGCCUUCGGGUCGUAAAGCUCUGUCCUCAAGGAAGAUAAUGACGGUACUUGAGGAGGAAGCCCCGGCUAACUACGUGCCAGCAGCCGCGGUAAUACGUAGGGGGCUAGCGUUAUCCGGAAUUACUGGGCGUAAAGGGUGCGUAGGUGGUUUCUUAAGUCAGAGGUGAAAGGCUACGGCUCAACCGUAGUAAGCCUUUGAAACUGGGGAACUUGAGUGCAGGAGAGGAGAGUGGAAUUCCUAGUGUAGCGGUGAAAUGCGUAGAUAUUAGGAGGAACACCAGUUGCGAAGGCGGCUCUCUGGACUGUAACUGACACUGAGGCACGAAAGCGUGGGGAGCAAACAGGAUUAGAUACCCUGGUAGU
rnacentral:rRNA from 1 species